AAGAAGUUAGUUGGAAGGUGACACAGUAUCUCUGCCUAAACUCAAGAGAUCUUGAAGGAGUAAGACCCAUAAGAAGGAGCAGAAGACUAGCUACAGAGACUGAGUUGGGGACCUUCUCUCAAAUAUAAAAUUUGGAGAUGGAUCUGAUCCAAAGCCCAAUGAAAUGAGUGGAAAGAUUCCCUCCAUUGACCUUAAUGAGUUUUGGAUUAUGUCAUAUAAGGAGUCAUCUGACAAUGGAUAUCAAACUAUACAGCUUUUCACUGAACAUUCCUGAAGUACACAACUCUGCAACAGUGACUACAGCUAAGACAAAAUGAAAAAAUAUAUAUACUGACAAUUACCGGAUCAUGUUUCAUCAAUGCAAGAUGUAGGUACAAAGGUGUGUUGUUAAUGGUGGCACCAGUUUUAGCAACAGCAAGUGAUAAUCCUCCAAUGGCUAUGCUGCCACAGAGCACUGGUUCGAUAGGUUCUGCAGCUCUCAUCACUUGGGAUUAUCUUGAUCUCCAACUGCACAAUGCAUUCCACCUCCUUUCUGAUUUUAAAUCCCUCCUCAAAAUUCACUUCCUUCAGCUUGCUUUUAACCACUGAUCUCUAUAUCUUAUCUUUUACCCUUCUCUGUAUUUAGAUGCAAUAAUCUGAUCUUUCAAGCUCCAUACACAAAGCACGUUUUGCAUGUUCUUUAUUUGUUGUAAACCUCAUCCCUCCCUUCCCUUCUUGUUUACAUCAUUUUCUGCAUUUAUCUAGUUUACAUUAUAAGCUCAAUGAGACAAAGUGCAUCUUCUGUUUUCUGCUAAGCAACAUUAAGUAGAAGAAUAUAGCACCCUUAAGCCAUGACCUGAAGGGACCAGAUUUUCAAGUGUUCAACACCCACAAUUUGGGCUAAAUUUUUCAAAAGUGCUCAGCAUCCAAUGUAUCUCCUUUGAAAAUCUUAUCAUUUACUUUGGUUCCUAAAUACAUGCUCUGACCCUUCAUACAAGAAUCACAGAGCAAUUUUCAGUAACAAAAUACAAAUGCAACAGAGUACAUUUAUAGUAUUGUAAGUGAAGAUUCACCAAAAUAGGACCUGAACUACAUUUACAGCAUGUGAUAGA